AAAUUUGAUAUUAUUUAACAUGCCCCCUCUCCAUAAGAAAAAGAAGAAGAAAUGAAAGAAGAUUGGAAUCAAUCAGAAGAGAGAAAAGUAGAGGAAGAAUUAUAUAUAUGAAAGAAGACUAACUCUCUUCCACAACUUGACACAUUAGCACAUGAGAGUUUGCCACCUAGACUUCAUAAAAUAAGUAAUACAUAAUUAGUAAUUAAUUCAACAUAACAAUUAAAAUAGAAAAAUAUAAUUAAUGAGAACUUGAACCAUCACUCUUUCUACAUUUUUUAAUUCAAUAUAUCCUCUUUAAUUUUGAGAUCCACUUAAGUGGCUAAAGUGAUGAUAAAAUCCAAAGAUUUACACAUAUUCCUGGCCUAAAAAUUAGACGAUUAUUAUGAAAGAAACUAAAUGAAUAUGCAGAUUAAAUAUAUCUAAGCUUUUCAAGAUUUAUGCUAAGAAAACAAGUAAUUUGAAAGAUAUUUGAGGAGCUAUCUUUAUAACUAAUACGUAAGAUAUAAGAUUAUGACAAGAAUUUAACUAAACUUUCCAAGAACAUCAAGUUGAAUAUGCUUAGAUUAAAUAUGCAGAGACAUGAUUAAUAAAGACAUGUUAUAUUUUUAGUGUAAGAAAUAAAUUUUCUAAAAUUUCACCGUCUCACAAUCUAUACAUAUAAUUAAAAAAGCAAGGAUAUAUAAAUUCAAAAAAAAAACUAAAAAUCUAAAACAACAAUAAAAAACAACUCAAGCACAUUCUUUUUUCAGAUGAACUAAUAUAGUUGGGCUUUUCAAAAACAAUUACAAAUCAUAUUUAUGUUUCAAAACCUAUGCAUUUAACUUUACUUUAUAUGAACAUGCAUUAUAUAAAACAAUUUAUAAAUAGUAAUACGUAAACCCGCACGUAGUGCGGGUACUCAUCUAGUUAUUAUUAAUACAGUUUUUGUUCAAUCCGAUUCAAACCGAUUUAACCCAAUUUCAAUGGCGUCAAUAAAAACAUACUCACGACGCACUCUAGAGCUAUAGAGAGAGAGAAAGAGAAAGAGAGAAAUUUUGGUAGAGAGAUAGGAAGACAAGGCUUUUCGGGUGUGCAAAAAGAAGAAGAUUUGUCUGUAUUUAUAUAUUUAUACUCUUUGUAAGAAUUAUUACAUA
rnacentral:sRNA from 1 species